UACGUAGGGAGCAAGCGUUGUCCGGAAUCAUUGGGCGUAAAGCGCGCGUAGGUGGCCAUGUAAGUCCGCUGUGAAAGUCAAAGGCUCAACCUUUGAAAGCCGGUGGAUACUGCAUGGCUAGAGUACGGAAGAGGCGAGUGGAAUUCCUGGUGUAGCGGUGGAAUGCGCAGAUAUCAGGAGGAACACCAAUAGCGAAGGCAGCUCGCUGGGACGUUACUGACACUGAGGCGCGAAAGCGUGGGGAUCAAACAGG
rnacentral:rRNA from 1 species